rnacentral:tRNA from 1 species
GACCGCGUAGCUCAGUUGGCAGAGCAUUGGGCUAGCAUUCCAAAGGUCGUAGGUUCGAUUCCCACCGUGGCCA